rnacentral:rRNA from 1 species
GAUGAACGCUGGCGGCGUGCCUAAUACAUGCAAGUCGAGCGAACAGAUGAGGAGCUUGCUCCUCUGACGUUAGCGGCGGACGGGUGAGUAACACGUGGAUAACCUCCCUAUAAGACUGGGAUAACUUCGGGAAACCGGAGCUAAUACCGGAUAAUAUAUUGAACCGCAUGGUUCAAUAGUGAAAGACGGUUUUGCUGUCACUUAUAGAUGGAUCCGCGCCGCAUUAGCUAGUUGGUAAGGUAACGGGUUACCAAGGCAACGAUGCGUAGCCGACCUGUGAGGGUGAUCGGCGACACUGGAGCUGGGACACGGUCCAGAGUCCUGCGGGAGGCAGCAGUAGGGAAUGUUCCGCAAUGGGCGAAAGCCUGGCGGAGCAACGCCGCGUGAGUGGUGAAGGUCUUCGGAUCGUAAUACUCUGUUAUUAGGGAAGAACAAAUGUGUAAUUAACUAUGCACGUCUUGACGGUACCUAAUCAGAAAGCCACGGCUAACUACGUG